ACAUGAUCAUUGGAAACAAUUAAAAUCGCCUCUUAGUCCCCGAAAAACACUUCAUAAACUGCCAAGAAAGAAGCAUCGAGCAUUUCCUGGACAACCAUGAAUGGAUUUGAUUCUGAAAGUCCAAAGCCAUGGAGCAUGUAUACGAAUUCAGAUCCCAGCUCAUCCCAAGCAACACUAGACAGGGAAGCUCCAUGGAAGAGCUUUGGAGCAUCAUUGAAUGCCAUAUCUUUUGGAUUUGUUGCCACAGCAAUUUUGAUAUCUUUGUUCCUUAUCUUGGCUGUCUUUGAACAUCUGUUCAGAGCCAGUCCCUCUUUCACUUCACCUGAACCCGUGAACAAUAGUUCUCUGGAAGCAGGAGAAGAGACGGAGAAGCUCCGCAAUCCACAGCUAGUGUUUCCGUCGUAUGCUUCAGACAUCCCGGUGCUAAUGCCGGCACAGCAUCGUCCCACCUACAUUGCUCAACCGGCUCCUCUCCCCUGUCCUAGAGAAGGGAUCAAUCGGCCUUAUCAUGAAGACAACUUCUCUUUUGCGAGUGUAUAGUUCCUGCCUAUCAGAACCAUCACUGAAUCUGCUUGUAUAUUGGGAAGUGCAUGAGAUUCUCAUUUUUGAACCACAUGUUUCACUUUAAACAACACCCCUCGCAGCAAAAAAGAAACAAGGUAAAUGAGUAGUUUAGCCUAAUGGAGAUGAACAGGAGCCGGGAGGUAAAUAUGGGAUCGUUUUCCAGUUUACGAUGUACGGUACACUGGCAUCAAUGAAAAUGAGCAGUGAACAGCUUGAUAA